rnacentral:rRNA from 1 species
AGAUUUCCCAUCCUUAAUGGAGUAAGAUCCCAUGUAGAUAAUAUGGUAAUAGGCCUGAGGUGUAAGUGCAGUAAUGCAUUCAGCUGACAGGUACUAAUAGAUCGAGGACUUGACCAA